UGGUGAGACUUCAACUGUACUGUUGGUUUGUCAGUGUUGAUCCAGGAAAGAAGACCUAAAUAGCUCCCUGUUGCUCAGGUGAGAAGUUAGCUACUCCACAGCAGAGUACACCAAAAAGCACUCCUUCUGGUAAGAAUAUCUGAUUAAUUUACUUGUAUUAUAAAAUAUAAUUCUCUGACAUCUGACACAUAUUCAGAAGGUUUUAUAUUUGUUAACUACA
rnacentral:lncRNA from 1 species